rnacentral:rRNA from 1 species
AGCGAACGCUGGCGGCAGGCUUAACACAUGCAAGUCGAGCGCCGUAGCAAUACGGAGCGGCAGACGGGAGAGUAACACGUGGGAACGUACCCUUCAGUACGGAACAACCAAGGGAAACUUUGGCUAAUACCGUAUACGUCCGUAAGGAGAAAGAUUUAUCGCUGAAGGAUCGGCCCGCGUCUGAUUAGCUAGUUGGGGAGGUAACGGCUAACCAAGGCGACGAUCAGUAGCUGGUCUGAGAGGAUGAUCAGCCUCACUGGGACUGAGACACGGACCAGACUCCUAAGGGAGGUAGCAGUGGGGAAUAUUGGGUAAUUGGCGGAAGCCUGAUCCAGCCAGGCCGCGUGGGUGAUGAAGGCCCUAGGGUUGUAAAGCCCUUUCGGCGGGGAGGAUAAUGACGGUACCCGCAGAAGAAGCCCCGGCUAACUUCGUGCCAGCAGCCGCGGUAAAAC